AUUGAACGCUGGCGGCAUGCUUUACACAUGCAAGUCGAACGGCAGCGCGGGCUUCGGCCUGGCGGCGAGUGGCGAACGGGUGAGUAAUGCAUCGGAACGUGCCCAGUAGUGGGGGAUAGCCCGGCGAAAGCCGGAUUAAUACCGCAUACGACCUGAGGGUGAAAGCGGGGGACCGAAAGGCCUCGCGCUAUUGGAGCGGCCGAUGUCGGAUUAGCUAGUUGGUGGGGUAAAGGCUUACCAAGGCGACGAUCCGUAGCUGGUCUGAGAGGACGACCAGCCACACGGGGAUUGAAACCCGGCCCAGCCACCUCCGGGAGGCAGCGGGGGGGAUUUUGGAACAAGGGGGCAAACCCGGACCCAGCCAGGCGGGGGGGGGGAAGAAGGCCUUGGGGUUGAAAACCGGUUUUGUGGGGGAAGAAAUCCUCUGGCCUAAUCCCCCGGGGGGAGGAGGGAACCGAAAAAAAAAGCACCGGCUAACUACGUG
rnacentral:rRNA from 1 species